GAUAUAAGUGCCUUACUGGCUAAAGAACAACAGCAUACAUUGGCAUUGAUCCGACAGCUUCUUGGCUAGUAAUAAUAGGAAUCUAAUUCUGGAGGACAUGAGAAUCAUUUGAGAACAUGUAAUAUUGAAAUAAAAUGCCUAGGUAGAUCAAUAUCACAGUUAUUAGAAGGAGACUAAUUGAAGCAUUGUGAACAAUUACUACGAAGUAUUGUCUCAAUGCAUAUUUUUUCACCUCUAUUUUGUCUAUUAGGUACUGUGAAUUUUCUCCCAGUAGAUUAUGGCUGAAAGGAUUGGGCCCACUGGAAAUCCUCAAAAGCUAUCAGCUGAAACUAACCAGAAGCCAGAAGACAAGGCAACCCACAGAUGCAGCUUAUUCAUUCAGCCCCAACAGAGCAGAACAAAUAAGGCUGAAGAGUAGGUGUGCACUCACACAGAGAAUACAGCUGGCACAGAAGCUGACAAGAUGUUUCCGAAUGAGCUUUGCCAGGUGUUGGCACAUUUGUGGGAUCACCAUGGAUACAAGUUCUGCUCCUCAAUUUUUAAGGCAAGAAUCUUAAUUUCACCAGUUAUCUAAUGGUAGCCAAGUUCUACUUACAACACCCAAACUUACCAAGUUUAGAAUAUACAUACGUACAAACUUACUGUAAAGGUGAUAUCCAUUCAUAUGUUAUAUUUUCCCAAUUAAAGAAUAUUUUGCAUGACUUGAAAUAGAAAAAAUAAUAAACACACUAAUAUUCAGCUUUUACAUGACUUCCAUAUUUGACGUUUUGACAAAGGAAAGAGAAGUAAAAGAGAAGCAAAAGGCUAUGUGAUGAAGUGGGAAGAAUGUGGUGUUUUUGAAAUCAAACAGCCCAGAGUACCAAUUUCAACUAUACUUGUCAUAACCUUAUUUCUCUAUGAACCAGGGAUGACAGGCC
rnacentral:lncRNA from 1 species